rnacentral:rRNA from 1 species
UACGUAGGUGGCAAGCGUUGUCCGGAAUCACUGGGCGUAAAGCGCACGUAGGCGGAUUGCUAAGUCAGGGGUGAAAUCCUGGAGCUCAACUCCAGAACUGCCUUUGAUACUGGCGAUCUCGAGUCCGGGAGAGGUGAGUGGAAUUCCGAGUGUAGAGGUGAAAUUCGUAGAUAUUCGGAGGAACACCAGUGGCGAAGGCGGCUCACUGGCUCGGUACUGACGCUGAGGUGCGAAAGCGUGGGGAGCAAACAGG